rnacentral:rRNA from 1 species
GACGAACGCUGGCGGCGUGCUUAACACAUGCAAGUCGAACGGAAAGGCCCUGCUUUUGUUGGGUGCUCGGGUGGCGCACGGGUGUGAAACACGUGUGUAACCUGACCUUGACGUUCGGAUAUCUUCACGAAACUGGGGCUAAUAUCGCAAAUGAUCUAUUGCACCGCAGGGUGGGUUGGUAAGUGUCGGCUGUUGGGGAUGGAGUCGCGGUUUAUCUGCUGGUUAGUGGGGUAGUGGCUGACCAAGGCUGCGACGGAUAGCAGGCCUGAGAGGUGGACCGGCGACAUUGGGACUGAGAUAGGGCGCAGCAGCCUACGGGAGGCAGCAGUGGGGAGUAUUACCCAGUGGGCGGGAGGCUGAGGCGGCGAUGCCGGGCGCGGGAUGAUGGCCUUCUGGUUAUAAACAGCUUUCGACUUUGGUGAAGCGGGAGUGACGGUAGUGGGUAAAGAAGCACCGGCUAACUACGUG